rnacentral:lncRNA from 1 species
GGUCACUGUAUGGGUCAUGUUUAGCUGACAUUAGCUCGUAAAAACAUAUCAAAACACUGUAUGGGUCAUGUCUAGCUAACAGUAGCUAGGUAGAAACAUAUGGGUCACUGUAUGGGUCAUGUUUAGCUAACAGUAGCUAGGUAGAAACAUAUGGGUCACUGUAUGGGUCAUGUUUAGCUAAAAGUAGCUAGGUAGAAACAUAUGGGUCACUGUAUGGGUCAUGUUUAGCUGACAGUAGCUAGGCAGAAACAUAUCAAACACUGUAUGGGUCAUGUUUAGCUAACAGUAGCUAGGUAGAAUCAUAUCAAAACACUGUAUGGGUCAUGUUUAGCUAACAGUAGCUAGGUAGAAACAUAUGGGUCACUGUAUGGGUCAUGUUUAGCUAACAGUCGCCAGGUAGAAACAUAUGGGUCACUGUAUGGGUCAUGUAUAGCUAACAGUAGCUAGGUAGAAACAUAUCAAAACACUGUAUGGGUCAUGUUUAGCUGACAUUAGCAAGGUAGAAACAUAUGGGUCACUGUAUAGGUCAUGUUUAGCUAACAGUAGCUAUGUAGAAACAUAUCAAAACACUGUAUGGGUCAUGUUUAGCUGACAGUAGCUAGGUAGAAACAUAUGGGUCACUGUAUGGGUCAUGUUUAGCUGACAGUAGCUCGGUAGAAACAUAUCAAAACACUGUAUGGGUCAUGUUUAGCUGACAUUAGCUAGGUAGAAAUAUAUGGGUCACUGUAUGGGUCAUGUUUAGCUGACAGUAGCUAGGUAGAAACAUAUCAAACACUGUAUGGGUCAUGUUUAGCUAACAGUAGCUAGGUAGAAACAUAUGGGUCAUGUUUAGCUGACAGUAGCUAGGUAGAAACAUAUGGGUCACUGUAUGGGUCAUGUUUAGCUGACAGUAGCUAGGUUGAAACAUAUGGGUCACUGUAUGGGUCAUGUUUAGCUAACAGUAGCUAGGUAGAAACAUAUGGGUCACUGUAUGGGUCAUGUUUAGCUGACAGUAGCUAGGUAGAAACAUAUCAAACACUGUAUGGGUCAUGUUUAGCUAACAGUAGCUAGGUAGAAUCAUAUCAAAACACUGUAUGGGUCAUGUUUAGCUAACAGUAGCUAGGUGGAAACAUAGGGGUCACUGUAUGGGUCAUGUUUAGCUAACAGUCGCUAGGUAGAAACAUAUGGGUCACUGUAUGGGUCAUGUUUAGCUAACAGUAGCUAUGUAGAAACAUAUCAAAACACUGUAUGGGUCAUGUUUAGCUGACAGUAGCUAGGUAGAAACAUGUGGGUCACUGUAUGGGUCAUGUUUAGCUAACAGUAGCUAGGUAGAAACAUAUCAAAACACUGUAUGGGUCAUGUUUAGCUGACAUUAGCUAGGUAGAAACAU